rnacentral:snRNA from 1 species
AGCUUUGCGCAGUGGCAGUAUCGUAGCCAAUGAGGUUUAUCCGAGGCGCGAUUAUUGCUAAUUGCUAAUGAGUCUAAUGCUACUUCCAGAACCCGUGCUGGUCUGACUGCUAGGACAGUUUACUCAUACUCCUAUAGCAG